AGCGAACGCUGGCGGUAGGCCUAACACAUGCAAUUCGAACGGCAACACAUUCAGAGCUUGCUCUUACUGGUGGCGAGUGGCGGACGGGUGAGGACUACAUCUGAGUUUACUUUUUCGUGGGGGAUAACGUAGGGAAACUUACGCUAAUACCGCAUACGACCUACUGCUCAAAGCCUGGGCUCUUCGGACCUUGCGCGAUUUACUGAGCCGAUGUCGGAUUCUCGAGUUGGCGGGGUAACGGCCCACCAAGGCGACGAUCCGUGGCUGGUAUGAGGGGAAGAUCAGCCACACUGGAAGUGAGACACGGUCCCGACUGCGAAGGGAGGCAGAAGUGGGGAAUAAUGGACAAUGGGCGCAAGCAGGAACCAGCCAGACCGGGUGGGUGAAGAAGGCAUUCGGGUUGGAAAGCCCUUUUGUGGGGAAAGAAAAGUAGCAGGUUAAUACCCAGCUGUUCUGACGGUAGCAAAAGAAUAAGAACAGGCUAACUUCGUG
rnacentral:rRNA from 1 species